rnacentral:rRNA from 1 species
UACAGAGGGGGCAAGCGUUGCUCGGAAUCACUGGGCGUAAAGGGCGCGUAGGCGGGAUGGCAAGUCGGUCGUGAAAUCCUUCGGCUCAACCGAAGAACGUCGGCCGAUACUGCCGUUCUUGAGGGAUGCAGAGGAGAUUGGAAUUCCGGUGUAGCGGUGAAAUGUGUAGAGAUCGGGAGGAACACCGGUGGCGAAGGCGGGUCUCUGGGCAUCUCCUGACGCUGAGGCGCGAAAGCGUGGGGAGCGAACGAG